AGAGACAGGGGACACGGGGUUACACACAGGAACAAACAGACCCCUGUACUACUAGGCUGAGGGAAGAGUCCCAUGCAUCAGACAACUACGCUCACUUAUCAACCGAUCAAAUCACUCCAAUCAGCGUGCAACAAGCUGAAUUUACGUUUACCAAUACACAGUCAAUAUUCAGAAAUUCACUAAACACACAUGCUGAUUGGCUGACGCUUGCAGAACAGCACCAAUCACAGGAGGGUGCGAUGACGUCAUAGUGAUGUCACAUCUGUGAGGGGUGACAUCACCGGGUCGGUUAGUGAGUGAGUCUGGUUGCCUUGGAAACCAUUCAAUUAGCCACCCAGUCAUAUUACCAUUCGGCAGAUUAAUCGAUCAAUUCGAGAUUAGUUGCCAAUCAAAUUACCAGGUUAGUGUCACAACCACAAACGUUAAUAAAACGUUAAUUGAACGUAAAAUAAACGUUGUCCAGACUUACUCUCUACACAGAGAGUUCCAAAGGAGUGGCAUGGAGGAGAGAGAAACAUACAGUUAGCAUCCUGGGAAAAACACACACACACACACACUCUCUCUCAUCACAUGCGCACACACAUAUGAGUGCAGUGUACACACACCACUUCCUGACUCGGACUGAUGUCAGAGUACCUGUGAACUGAAACGGGUGGUAUUGUGACGUCACUACAGACAAGGACUGAAACAGGUGGUAUUGUGACGUCACUACAGACAAGGGCUGAAACAGGUGGUAUUGUGACGUCAUAUCAGACGAGGACUGAAACAGGUGGUAUUGUGAUGUCAUAUCAGACGAGGACUGAAACAGGUGGUAUUGUGACGUCAUAUCAGACGAGGACCUAAACAGGUGGUAUUGUGACGUCAUAUCAGACGAGGACUGAAACAGGUGGUAUUGUGACGUCAUAUCAGACGAGGACCUAAACAGGUGGUAUUGUGACGUCAUAUCAGACGAGGACCUAAACAGGUGGUAUUGUGACGUCAUAUCAGACGAGGACUGAAACAGGUGGUAUUGUGACGUCAUAUCAGACGAGGACCUAAACAGGUGGUACUGUGACGUCAUAUCAGACGAGGACUGAAACAGGUGGUACUGUGACGUCAUAUCAGACGAGGACUGAAACAGGUGGUACUGUGACGUCAUAUCAGACGAGGACUGAAACAGGUGGUACUGUGACGUCAUAUCAGACGAGGACUGAAACAGGUGGUAUUGUGACGUCAUAUCAGACGAGGACUGAAACAGGUGGUAUUGUGACGUCAUAUCAGACGAGGACUGAAACAGGUGGUACUGUGACGUCAUAUCAGACGAGGACUGAAACAGGUGGUUCUGUGACAUCAUAUCAGACGAGGACUGAAACAGGUGGUACUGUGACGUCAUAUCAGACGAGGACUGAAACAGGUGGUACUGUGACGUCAUAUCAGACGAGGACUGAAACAGGUGGUAUUGUGACGUCAUAUCAGACGAGGACUGAAAUAGGUGGUACUGUGACGUCAUAUCAGACGAGGACUGAAACAGGUGGUACUGUGACGUCAUAUCAGACGAGGACUGAAACAGGUGGUAUUGUGAUGUCAUAUCAGACGAGGACUGAAACAGGUGGUACUGUGACGUCAUAUCAGGACUACAGGCCUCUUAUCAGAACCUCCUGAUUCUUAUAGAAGUCUCUAUACACACCAGAGAGAGAGGGAGACAGGACAAAAAGUCAUAGGGAGGGAGAAGACAGAGAAAAGAGAAUAAAGAGAGAAGAGAGAGAAAAGUGGGAGACAAGAGAGAGAGAGAGAGAGAGUGGGGUCGAGGGAGAGAGAGAGAGCGUUGGGUCGAGAGAGAGAGAGAGUGGAGUGGGGUCGAGGGAGAGAGAGAGGGAGUGGGGUCGAGGGAGAGAGAGUGGGGUCGAGGGAGAGAGAGAGAGAAAGAGAGGGGUCGAGGGAGAGAGAGGGGUCGAGGGAGAGAGAGGGGUCGAGGGAGAGAGAGUGGUCGAGGGAGAAAGAGUGGGGUCGAGGGAGAGAGAGAGAGAGUGGGGUCGAGGGAGAGAGAGAGAGAGAGUGGGGUCGAGGGAGAGAGAGAGAGAGAGUGGAGUGGGGUCGAGGGAGAGAGAGAGGGAGUGGGGUCGAGGGAGAGAGAGUGGGGUCGAGGGAGAGAGAGAGAGAAAGAGAGGGGGCGAGGGAGAGAGAGGGGUCGAGGGAGAGAGAGUGGUCGAGGGAGAAA